GUCUUUUUGAAAUUAAUUUAAAGUCUAACCUGCCCACUGAUUUUAAAUUUAAAGGCCGCAGUAUUUUGACUGUGCAAAGGUAGCAUAAUCAUUUGUCUUUUAAUUGAAGGCUGGAAUGAAUGGUUGAAUGAGAUGUAUACUGUCUCAUUUUUAUAAAUUAAGAAUUUAGCUUUUAAAUUAAAAGGUUUAAAUUUUAUUAAAAGACGAGAAGACCCUAUAGAUUUUUAUAAAAAUUAUUUUUAAAAUUUAAAGUUAUUAAAAUUUUUUUAAAAAUAAUUUUUAUUUGAUUGGGGUGAUUGAAAAAUUAAAUAAACUUUUUUUAUUUUUAAACAUUGAUUUAUGAUUAAUUGAUCCAAUUUUAUUGAUUAAAAGAUUAAAUUACCUUAGGGAUAACAGCGUAAUUUUUUUGAAGAGUUCUUAUCGAUAAAAAAGAUUGCGACCUCGAUGUUGAAUUAAAGGUUAUUUUUAAAUGUAAAAGUUUAGAGUUUAGGUCUGUUCGACCUUUGAAUCUU
rnacentral:rRNA from 1 species